CAUUAAUUUUGUUCCUGCAGAAAAUGCUUUGAGCUCACAUGUAACUGAUGUGAUUGUCUGAAGGUGAAGAGACUGUCAAUGGUUUAGGACAGAUGCAGAAAUGAUAAACAGGGAUUAUCCCAAAGGUGGUGGGAGAUGUGUACAACCCAUUUUUAGCACUAAAGUGGCAACUAAUAUGAAAAGUGGGUAAGAUGUAGAUCCUGGAAUCACGGAGUGGCUGAGGUUGGAAAGGACCACUGGAGCCCUCCUGUCCAAGCUGGGUGCUGUCGAGCAUGCUACUCAGGAGGACAUCCAGAUGGUUCUGGAAUAUCUUCAGAAAUACUCUUAGGAAUUCUGUGGAACAAGCUUUCUUCUACAUCAGCUCUUAACUUUGGUUCCUGGCACGCUAUCCACCUGCUGAGGCUCAGGCCACUGAAGUGCUGCACACAAAGCAGAUGUCCUGGGGAGCAAGUUUACAGCCUGCAAGUGACUGGAAACUCUUCUGAGAUCUUAUUUCAGUUUGGAAUAAAAUCAAGACGUCGUUACUCUUGAUUUGUCUGAAGUUUCAAGUUCUUACUGCAUGAGUUCAGAUGGAAUCCAGACUUGCUCCCCACCUGGUACGUCGGCAGUUCCACUGAGCAGUACUGAGAGCAGCCCUUUGUUAUUCCUCUGCCUUCUGCAUCUGCUUUCUCUUUGGGCCUGUCACAGACACAAGUGUGGAAUGCAGGGGGCAGGGGGUUGUCUUUUUAGCAGUCUAGUGGCAAACAGGAGGUUAAAGGCUUUUUUGUGCAUUUUUGUGCUUCUCAGAAGUGAAAUGGAGAACCUAAAUUCCUGUCUGAUGCACUUGAUGUGCAGAAAUGUCACAGUCCUUGGUCCUGUGCGUCCCUUUAAGGUGCUAAUCAUCAGCAAUUAUCUUUUUUUAAUAUAUAUAUUUUUUUUGUAAAGACGUCUGUUACACUUUUAGGUUACUAAAUAUUACCUGCAUCACCUGAGGCUUGUCUUUCAUGAAAAUACAGUUUGGUUUGUCAAAUUCAAGCUACAGUUUAUUCCAUGUUUCUUGCAAGUGAUUUGUCUAGGCAUGUAUUGCUCUGAUCUAGUGCAGUGCUGUGUUUUAUGAUACCUCAUGCUAAUAUAUUACAUUGCAGUCACAGUUAGUAUUUAAAGCAAAAAUUGUUUUUGUUGUUACUGUUCUAAAAUUUGUGGGUUUGUUUCCAAAAUGCAGUCAUUUGAACCUUUAUUGAGGUGUCUCGGGAAACUGUAUUGCAGGUUAUUUCAUGUACGUGGUCAGGAAACUCAGUAAUUCACUGUAUCUAUUCAUGUGAAUCUGCUGACAGAGUUUGGGGGUGAUUGACAGAAGAAAAUAGAUGACAUUUUGGUUUUUUGUUUCUAAUUUUAUGAAAAUCCCAAGUUUCUAUGAAAAUAUUUUUCUGAGAUAAAUGGCUGGUAAUGACAGGAAGAAGGAAAAAACUCCAAUCAAGAUCCAGUGUGAUUCAGGAGAUCUGUUACUAUUCUAGAUCCCUUGGAGAAAUGGAAUCAUUAAAUAUGUUUUAACUCAAACUCGGAAUUAUAAUCCUUUUCCCCAUACUUUUAUGACAUCUCUUAAGAAGCAGUAGUUUAAAUCCAGUUUAAUAAUUGUGACAUUAAUUUAAUCAGUAAGGAGAGACCUCACAAAAUUUACCCAUGGAAUUGCAACUGAAGCUUUGAGAGAUGUUUGCAUUGUGAACCAACACAAGUUGCAAAUUGUGACUAAGGUAUUUUGGUAUUUCAUUUAAAGCAGCUACCUCAGAGAUCAAUAUCAGCACGGCUCCAAGAAUCGUGGAGUUUGUCAGGUAGGUUUUGUGGGCUAUACUGAGUCUCAUUGUCUGGUGCUCUGCAAUCCACUUAUUAGCUGGUUUAAUUGGCUAAAGCAGCACCCAGCACAUCUGCUAGAGCUCUGAGGUGGAUUUUAAAGCAAAAUGUAGCCAUAGCUGGAGCUAGGUCAUGUCAUCACCCCUUCAGGAUCACAGCACUUUCUUCUCCUUCCUGUAUUUCAAGGUUACAUUAAUUACACAAACUGAUUGAAUAAAACUUUCAUGGGUUAAUUUUUGGAGAUUUGUUGCUAUUUACAUUUUAGGUGUCCUGUGUUUUGUUCAGCCUGGGAUAUCUUCUAUGCAUCUUCCCUGUUGGAGUCUGAGAUACAGAGUGUGUGCCCUUGUUUCUGAUACUUAGUUCUAAGUCCAGAAAA